GAUACAAUAAGAUUAUGAAAAGAAAAAUAGCUGGCGAUAUGCUACCUACAUCUUUUCACAUAGUCAAAGACAAAUCAAGAAGCAUUUGAACAUUAACGUAAAUUGAGGGAGCGAAAUAAUCAAAUUACAACAAACAUACAUAAACGUGUAUUUGGGGAAAAGAGACAGAAACAAGAAACGAAAUAUUUACAAUUUUACUAGCAAUGAUAGGACACGUCUUCUGACAGAUAGAACAUUGCUUAAUUUUAAGAAAUAGAAGAAACUGAUAAUAUACACAAAUAGUAAAAAAAGAAAAGAAAAUAAGACAUCGAAGGUUAUAAGCAAAGACAGCCAAUAUAAUAUGUU
rnacentral:lncRNA from 1 species